GGAAGGUGCAAUCACUAACAAUAGACUACUGUUUAGUGAGCAUCAACUGUGUGCCAGAGCACGUGCCAUGUCAGAUAUGUUACAUAAGUCAUCCUCACAGCAAUUCUGGGGGAGCCCCAUUAGCCCCAACACAAAUUUUAAAAUAAACUUAAAAAAGGAAUACAUGCACAAGUUAAAAUACUUCAAAAAAUAUGGAAGAGCAUAAAAUGAAAGUAAAAGUCUCCCACUCCACUCCCUCUCCCAGGAUGACAUUUAUACUUUUCAUUUCGGUGGCUGUCUGUGUAUCUCAUAGAUGUUAUCAUCAUUUUAUGAGCAAGUAGAGGAAGGUUCACAAUUAAGCUAAGAAGCCAUGGCUACCUGUCUCCAGGCUCAGCACUGUCAAUUACUCUACAUUAGUUAAGGUGAAUUCGGAGAAAAGAAAUGAGUUGCACCAUAGAUAAAAAAGGCAGGUCAGCUCAGAAUUGACAUUACCUCUCCUUUUCUUUCCUGCCCAAUUGAGGAUCCCACUAAUACUACAUUUUUACCAGAAACUGAAAGCAUAGACUCCUUUUGUGCAUAGAACCAUUUGUGAGGAUGUGUUGCUUCCAGGUCUUGGUGUCAUUGGACAUGUAGCCCUCCACCAUGCCCUGUUACCAGGAUCCCAGUAUUGCCUCUACCCUGUACUAGGUCUGGGACUGGGACAUGCCUCUUAAGCUUUGGAUUUCCCUGCCUCUUCUCAGCAUUGUUGGGGGAUUGCAAUGAAAGACAGGGAGAGGACUGUGUAAAUGUGAAGUCUCUAUGUAAAUAUAGCAGCUGCUUUCCAAAGGCCUCUACAGGACCCUGUGGCCCUUCAGUUCAGACAGUGGAGUUUAAGGUUCUUUGCAAAAUGGUGUGGCUUUGACAUUUGAGGGUUUGCAUAAUGUGUGCAUUUGUGUCAAUAGGGGAAGGGUUAGGAGUGUGUCUAAAUGGAAGAGGGUGCUUAUUUAUCUGCAAAAGAAGAGAGCAGUGCGUGUUUAGAAUCAGGAGAGGUAGGCAAGUGUGGAGUGGACUUCUUUCUGCUGGAGGGCAUAUAGAGCCAAGCUGGUAAGGACACAAAGAAGCAGUUAUCCUAUGUGGGAUGCACAGUGGGGGAAUAAGAGUAGCAAGGUGAGGCUGAAAGGAUGCUUACACCUACCUGUCCCUUUGCUAGGUAGCCACAAGCAAUGGCUGUUCUCAGACUUUUCAGGGCCAGGCAGAGGGAACUGAGGGGGUGACUACAAGAUGGUAUCAGCUUCCCCAAAUGAGUAAUUUAAUUUAUUAUUCCUUUGGGUGACUGAAAAGGGAAGAGAUAUUAGAGAACAGGUGGGAUAUUUCUUCUGGAAAGCUCACCUUGUCUGUGAUGGUUCUUUAUUCUUGAAGAAUUUCUGGAGACAUCCUAAAUUUAUGGGGAUUUCAUGUGAGAAUGAAUGAUAGGCCAUGAGCCUCUUAGGCUUUGCAGGGGAGGAGUAGCUGGGGAGGGGACAAUCUUGCAAGCUGCACACAUCUGAGAUUGUGGGAAAAGAGAUUCUGACCACCACUGGGGAAGAAGGAGAAAAUGGCUUUAAGAUGAUGCAGCGGGGCUGAGUUCUAGGCUGGUUCCAAAGAGAAACUGUGAAAGUAGAGAAAGGUGGCUUUUCUGUAAGGCCCAGCCAGGCUUCAGAGCACUAUUUCAAUGCCUGUCAGGACAAAGGAUGCUGCGCCCCCUGGUGUCAGACUUGAGGCCUGUGCCAGCUAGCUACAUGGAAACCCAGGGACCAGCUGGAGGAAUGGAAGGUCAGAUGCCUUUUCUUCUAUUUGCUAAGGGAGUUGAAAUUGAAAUAGUCCUUGCUUUCUCAACUCUGGAGUCUAAAUAGAGACUCUGGUGUGGAUAGAGGAGGGUUUUAUGCUUUUUUUUCAUGCAAUUUAGGCCAACAGGACAAUGUCUAUUUAGAAAUAAACCUUUGGAGUGGGAAGUACACUAUUCUGAAAGAAAAGACCUGCAUUUUGGGCAAAGUGCUGGUCUGGGGAACAUCAUUUAAAAUUUUUAGGACAUUUCUUUCUUUGUCCAAAAUCCAAAGAAUUUAGAGUAAAAUGUUGUUAAGUUCUUUUCUAAGUUCUAAUAUUGGUCUUUAUUCCUCAAUCAUUAUGCUGCACCCUUCUUUUCUCAGAGCCUCGCAAAUGUGGCUUUUUAAAAAUAUAUAUGCAGGUGCAAAUGUUAUAUAUUUUAGCAUCUUGAGUUCCUGAUUCUGAGCAAAGGUUUUCAAAAGUGCAAAAUAUACCUCUUUUCAACCCCCCAACCCCCCACUCUCCCAACCUUUUGUGGAGCCUCCUGUAAGAAAGCUGCAGAGUGAACAGGACUCCAGUCUCUGCUGUUUCUUUUAAAAAUAAAGUACUGAAGUGUUGUGCUGGAAAUUCUGCUACUAAGUGUCGCAUGUGGUAGGUGUGAAUAUAUGCUUCAAUAGUUCCAGGCACAAGACCAAAAUCUUCCCCAGAAUUAGCAGAGUUUUCAGCUAUAAUCUGGCUAUCAUUUUUCUACAAAUAGGUACAAAGACCAAUUUGGGACUAUGUUCUCUGUAAGGGGUACCUCAUCAAGUUUCCACUGAAAUUUAGGACCAGCCCUAGUACAGUCAGGUGAUUUGAGGAAGGAUCAGUUGUGGAGAAGAAUUAUGUUGAAGUUGAGAGUUUUCUUCUCCUGAAACAUUUAAGUCACAUGUCUGAGGUGAGGAAUCUGUUACAUCUCAAAGCAAAUUUUUUCUUCUGCAUUACACUUGAACUGUUAUCUCUGUGUAAUGGGUACAGUUGUUGUUGUUAAGGAAACUGAUUAUUGAUUUUGCAGAAGUGGAUGGAAUGUGCAACUUUUGUCCUAUAAUUGUGUCACCAUUCCACAUGCUGCAGGCAUGGGCUUCUUUUUUUGUACCAGGGAUUGAACCCAGGGGCACUUAACCACUGAACCACAUCCCUAGCCCUUUUUAUAAUUUCAUUUUGAGACAGGGCCUCACUAAAUUGCUUAGGGCCUUGCUAAGUUGCUGAGGAUGGCUUCGAACUUGGGAUCCUCCUGCUUUAGCCUCCCAAGCUGCUGGAAUUACAGGCAUGUGUCACCGCACCCAGCUGGUGGAGUCCUUAUAAGAAGACAUUAGGACAUAGACAUUAAUAGAGGGAAGACCAUGUGAAGAUAUAGGGAGAAGGCAACAUCUAUAAGCCAAGAAACCAACUCUGCCAACACCAUGAUCUCAGACUUGAGCCUUCAGAACUGUGAGAAAGUAAAUUCUCUUUCUUUAAACCACCAGGCUGUGGUAUUUUGUUUUGGCAGCCCCAGAAAACCAAUAUAUGCUACUACUAGGCAACAAUCAAUUAUAAGCUGCCAUUUGAGGAUGCAGACUCAAAGGCACCAGAUUUUCCAGAGUAAAAUCUUUUGUUUUCGAGUAUUUGCAGCAGGGUUAGCUUCAUGUGACCUGUGCAGUCAUAUAAGGUCCUGUAUAUAGAAGUGGCCCACUGUCAUUUUAAAGCUCUCUUGUCAUCAUCUUAAAAUUUUUAAAUUUUCAUUAAGGCACCCACUCACCUGGCCCUCAAACUAUAUAAGUAGUUACAAACUAUGUAACUAGUCCUAGUUGACAAAAAUUAUAAAUUUAAAAUAUUCUGCAUGUUAAGAUUAUGGUGGAGUCAGGCAUGGUGGCACAUGCCUAUAAUACCAGCUAAUAGGGAUGCUGAGGCAGGAGAAUCCCAAGUUUGAAUGAGAUCAGCCCAAACAACUUAGUGAGAGCCUGUCUCAAAAUAAAGUUUAAAAAUGGCUGUUUUUUUAUGGCUAGUUCAGCAGUAGAGUCUUUGUUUAGCAUAUGCAAAGCCCCAAAUUUAGUUUCUAGUACUGGAAAAUAAAAAAGAAGUUAAUAAAUUAUUACGGGGACCCCCCAAAAACAUGACUGGAACUAGAGGCAGCCUGGGACACUGCACUGAACUUUCUGUUGCUAACUGGAAUAAGAUCUCCCAUUCCACAAUAAUCACAAGGAGGGAAUUUAUGAAGCCCAGAGGUUUUUCUGGAGUGGAAGAAAGUCACAGAUAUUCCCCAGAUGUGAUUUCCUGAGAUUCUACAUACGCUAAUGUGGUCCUGGCCAAGAUUUUUUUCUCAGGGUUGAGCUCUGAGAACUUCACAAUAUGAAGAUCUCGAGGAAAGGCCAAACAUAAGGACCAAAGUAUUUGGGGUCGAAAGCUAUAUCCUGCCUGAAAAUGACUACUGCUGGAAGCUUUUGCAGGUUCAUCCACCCAACCCUGAGUUGGGUUUUGGGAAACUAGAGCUGAGGAUGCCAUCCCGUAUGACUAGCAACACCCUGAGGGACCAUAUGGCCUUCUCUAAAAGCAAGACAGAACGGCAAGAAACAACAGUGAGAAUGGAUGAAUUUGCCUCCCGGUUCCUGCCUGGAGUUUGUAAGCAGGACUUUUCUCCCUUGUGCUGAACCAGUCCUGGGAUUCUUAAGGCAUUCUCAGUUGGGGUGAGUUUGGUGGGCUGAGCUGCAGAGUACAAACUGUCAUGUCUGUUCAAGGGUCUAGGCCAUCCUGAGCACUUAAUUAUAAAUACAUGAUACCCUUCCAUUUCAUGGUGCACAACAUCCCAGUCAAUUCCAAUUCAGACAAGAGAGAUUUUUUCCCCUGGUGAAAGAAACGCCAGUCAUCAGUAAAUAGUCACUGGGAUAUAUGAUGGGGAAGUCCUAUUUUUAAGAAUAUGCAUUGAUUUAUAGAAUCUCACUGAAAAUAUUAUAGCGGAAUGUUUGGUCAGGAGGUCUGCUUUUCUAGUUCUAUUUCUGCCCAGCACUGACUAACUGGAGAGUGUAAAUUUUAAAAGAAGUAAUUUCUUAUGCACGCUAUGCAAACUCCCUUAGGGGAAUGAGUGAAAGACUGUUUGAGACACUGUGCAUUUCUUGGAAGAAAGUUGCUAUAUAAAUUAAUAUAGAGCCCUCUUUUUCAUUGCAGGCCUGCAAGACACACCAAAAGACUCCCGCAAGUCGUGUAAGGGAGAAAACGAAACACUCCACUGGCCUCUAUCAGGGGAAGUUAAUUUUUCCCCUUUUCUGCACAUUUUCAAAACUCUAUAACUCUAAUUUGCAGUACAGAAAAUAAGCUUUUAUAUUUAUUAUUUUUUAUGCUUUGGAUAUAGAGUAUUCCCAAAGGAACAAUGUGUUGUGCUAAGAGUUGUGAGCCUAUUGUGGGAAAGGCUGAGAUUAAGUUACUGCAAGAAGAAGUUCAUUUACACCUGCUUGGUGAUCUAGGAGCCCCAGGUCAGAGCAGCACCUACUUUCUUCCUCCCCACCAGGAAAGAGCAGAGUUGGGGGUGGUGAUCCCAAAAUUAAGACGUUUGGAAUUCUAUAUGUAGCUUUUCUAAGUCCUAAAUGACAAUUCCCUUAAUCAUUUGGAAUAUAAGAAACUUGGCUAAAGGUUUUAGCUUAAAGCCAUUAAUUUAAAAGAAAUGAAAACAUAGGUCUACAUAGAAACUUGUACAUGGAUGUUCACAGCAGAAUUUUCACAAUAGCCAAGAAAGGAAAAGAAUUCAAAUGUCUGUUAACUAAUGAAUGCAAAAGCAUAAUGUGGUACAUCCAUAAAAUGGAAUAUGUAACUAUUCAGCAAUAAAAAGAAAUGAAAUAUUGAUACAUUCAACAACAUGGAGGAACUGUAAAACAUCGUGCUAAUAAGCAAAUUACAAAUGAACACAUGUUGUAUGAUUCUGUAAUUGCAUGAUUCCAUAAUGGAAUUGUACAACAUGUAUUUGUGAUUAGUAUACAUAUCUAUAGAAACAGAAAGCAGACUAGUGGUUGGCUAGGUCUUGGGAAGAAAUAGGGGACAUUGGAGAGUGACAGCAAAGUGGUGCAGAGUUUCUUUGUGGGAUGAUAGAAAUGUUCUAAAAUUAAUUGAGGUGGCAGUUGUAUCACUUGGUGAAUGCAUUCAAAACCACUGAGUCUUGCUGUAAGAGUGAGUCCUAUGAUGUGUGAAUUAUAUCUCAAUAAAGACAUGAAAAGAUUUUUUAAAAAAUGAUACUUAAAAAAAAUAUCCACUGGUUUAUCUCUCUUUCUGAAGCUGAUCACUUUAGAAAAUGUGUUCAAAAUAAAAACAGAUUUUUAUGGGAUAACUGAAAUCAGAAUGUGAAAAAGUGAUUUUUUUCUUAGGUGGGAAGAUUAAUUUGCAUGUCCAUGUGUACUCAAAAUACCUGUACCUGUAAUUCUUUUGAACUUUGCUGAAAAUUUUUUCCUUAGCCUGCAAUCAUUAAAAUAUGUUUAAGCAAUCA
rnacentral:lncRNA from 1 species